CUGCAAGGGAGGAAUUCACUCCAACGUUUCUUGGAGAAACGCAGAGACAGGUUGGUGAGCAAAGCGCCAUAUACUGCAACAAAAAC